GAUGGACGCUGGCGGCGUGCCUAAUACAUGCCAGUAGAACGCUGAAGGACGGAGCUUGCUCUUUCCGGAUGAGUUGCGAACGGGUGAGUAACGCGUAAGUAACCUGCCUGGUAGCGGGGGAUAACUAUUGGAAACGAUAGCUAAUACCGCAUAACAGUAGAUGUUGCAUGAUAUCUACUUAAAAGGUGCAAUUGCACCACUACCAGAUGGACCUGCGUUGUAUUAGCUAGUUGGUGAGGUAACGGCGCACCAAGGCGACGAUACAUAGCCGACCGGAGAGGGUGGUCAGCCGCACUGGGAGGGAGACACGCCCCAGUCGCCUUGGGGAGGCGGCAGUAGGGAAUCGGCGGCAAGGGGCGGGAGUCUGAGCGAGCUACGCGGCAGGAGGAAGGAGGGUUGUCGGAUCAUAAAGCUCGGUUGUAAGGGUAGAACGAGUGUGCGGUUGGAAAGAACACACUGUGACGGUAUCUUACCAGAAAGGGACGGCUAACUACGUG
rnacentral:rRNA from 1 species